rnacentral:rRNA from 1 species
AAUAGAUACCCCGGUAGUCCACGCCGUAAACGAUGUCGACUUGGAGGUUGUGCCCUUGAGGCGUGGCUUCCGGAGCUAACGCGUUAAGUCGACCGCCUGGGGAGUACGGCCGCAAGGUUAAAACUCAAAUGAAUUGACGGGGGCCCGCACAAGCGGUGGAGCAUGUGGUUUAAUUCGAUGCAACGCGAAGAACCUUACCUACUCUUGACAUCCAGAGAACUUUCCAGAGAUGGAUUGGUGCCUUCGGGAACUCUGAGACAGGUGCUGCAUGGCUGUCGUCAGCUCGUGUUGUGAAAUGUUGGGUUAAGUCCCGCAACGAGCGCAACCCUUAUCCUUUGUUGCCAGCGGUUUAGGCCGGGAACUCAAAGGAGACUGCCAGUGAUAAACUGGAGGAAGGUGGGGAUGACGUCAAGUCAUCAUGGCCCUUACGGAGUAGGGCUACACACGUGCUACAAUGGCGCAUACAAAGAGAAGCGACCUCGCGAGAGCAAGCGGACCUCAUAAAGUGCGUCGUAGUCCGGAUUGGAGU